rnacentral:rRNA from 1 species
UACGUAGGGGGCGAGCGUUGUCCGGAAUCAUUGGGCGUAAAGAGCUCGUAGGCGGUUCAGUAAGUCAGGUGUGAAAGCUCCGAGCUCAACUCGGAGAGGCCACCUGAUACUGCUGUGACUAGAAUCCAGUAGGGGAGUGUGGAACUCCUGGUGUAGCGGUGAAAUGCGCAGAUAUCAGGAGGAACACCGAUGGCGAAGGCAGGUCUCUGGGCCACUACUGACGCUGGAGAAGCGAAAAGCAUGGGGAGCGAACAGG